CAGUGGAUUAUCGUCUGGUUUAAUCCCAAAUGGCGCCGUUGGAUGUUGAUUUGGUCGGGGUUUCAUUUCUCCAGCUCGCUCAUUCAUCAUUUAUGUAACGCUUUGCCGCUGUUCCUUUGCUGAGGCAAUUCCCUAGCAGCUGGAGAGAAGAUGAGGAUGAGCACCAUGUGCUGGCUGAGGUAGUGCUUUGUGCUGUUGGUCGGGUCGCUCCUCUGCCCGCUGAUGGAGAUGACGGCGCAAAACACUGCCUUGCUAGAGCUGGUGAUGAACCGCAUAUAAUCUACAAGACCUACACACCAGAUUUACAAGAUUUACACACCAGUCAUUUAUGUUUUUAUAACUCAAAUUCAAACCUGGGCUUUAUUAUAAAUAAAUGUGAUCCCAC
ensembl:lncRNA